rnacentral:rRNA from 1 species
UCUAAUACAUGCAGUCGAACGCGUUGGCCCAAUUGAUUGAUGGUGCUUGCACCUGAUUGAUUUUGGUCGCCAACGAGUGGCGGACGGGUGAGUAACACGUAGGUAACCUGCCCAGAAGCGGGGGACAACAUUUGGAAACAGAUGCUAAUACCGCAUAACAACGUUGUUCGCAUGAACAACGCUUAAAAGAUGGCUUCUCGCUAUCACUUCUGGAUGGACCUGCGGUGCAUUAGCUUGUUGGUGGGGUAACGGCCUACCAAGGCGAUGAUGCAUAGCCGAGUUGAGAGACUGAUCGGCCACAAUGGGACUGAGACACGGCCCAUACUCCUACGGGAGGCAGCAGUAGGGAAUCUUCCACAAUGGGCGCAAGCCUGAUGGAGCAACACCGCGUGAGUGAAGAAGGGUUUCGGCUCGUAAAGCUCUGUUGUUAAAGAAGAACACGUAUGAGAGUAACUGUUCAUACGUUGACGGUAUUUAACCAGAAAGUCACGGCUAACUACGUGCCAGCAGCCGCGGUAAUACGUAGGUGGCAAGCGUUAUCCGGAUUUAUUGGGCGUAAAGAGAGUGCAGGCGGUUUUCUAAGUCUGAUGUGAAAGCCUUCGGCUUAACCGGAGAAGUGCAUCGGAAACUGGAUAACUUGAGUGCAGAAGAGGGUAGUGGAACUCCAUGUGUAGCGGUGGAAUGCGUAGAUAUAUGGAAGAACACCAGUGGCGAAGGCGGCUACCUGGUCUGCAACUGACGCUGAGACUCGAAAGCAUGGGUAGCGAACAGGAUUAGAUACCCUGGUAGUCCAUGCCGUAAACGAUGAGUGCUAGGUGUUGGAGGGUUUCCGCCCUUCAGUGCCGGAGCUAACGCAUUAAGCACUCCGCCUGGGGAGUACGACCGCAAGGUUGAAACUCAAAGGAAUUGACGGGGGCCCGCACAAGCGGUGGAGCAUGUGGGUUUAAUUCGAAGCUACGCGAAGAACCUUUACCAGGUCUUGACAUCUUGCGCCAACCCUAGAGAUAGGGGCGUUUCCUUCGGAAACG